rnacentral:rRNA from 1 species
CCUACGGGAGGCAGCAGUGAGGAAUAUUGGUCAAUGGACGAGAGUCUGAACCAGCCAAGUAGCGUGAAGGAUGACUGCCCUAUGGGUUGUAAACUUCUUUUAUAAAGGAAUAAAACGAGGCACGUGUGCCUUUUUGCAUGUACUUUAUGAAUAAGGAUCGGCUAACUCCGUGCCAGCAGCCGCGGUAAUACGGAGGAUCCGAGCGUUAUCCGGAUUUAUUGGGUUUAAAGGGAGCGUAGAUGGGUUGUUAAGUCAGUUGUGAAAGUUUGCGGCUCAACCGUAAAAUUGCAAUUGAUACUGGCAGUCUUGAGUACAGUUGAGGUAGGCGGAAUUCGUGGUGUAGCGGUGAAAUGCUUAGAUAUUACGAAGAACCCCGAUUGCGAAGGCAGCUUACUAAACUGCAACUGACAUUGAUGCUCGAAAGUGUGGGUAGCAAACAGGAUUAGAUACCCUUGUAGUC